CCUACGGGAGGCAGCAGUGGGGAAUUUUGGACAAUGGGCGCAAGCCUGAUCCAGCAAUGCCGCGUGAGUGAAGAAGGCCUUCGGGUUGUAAAGCUCUUUUGUCAGGGAAGAAACGGUGAGGGCUAAUAUCUCUUGCUAAUGACGGUACCUGAAGAAUAAGCACCGGCUAACUACGUGCCAGCAGCCGCGGUAAUACGUAGGGUGCAAGCGUUAAUCGGAAUUACUGGGCGUAAAGCGUGCGCAGGCGGUUUUGUAAGUCUGUCGUGAAAUCCCCGGGCUCAACCUGGGAAUUGCGAUGGAGACUGCAAGGCUAGAAUCUGGCAGAGGGGGGUAGAAUUCCACGUGUAGCAGUGAAAUGCGUAGAGAUGUGGAGGAACACCGAUGGCGAAGGCAGCCCCCUGGGUCAAGAUUGACGCUCAUGCACGAAAGCGUGGGGAGCAAACAGGAUUAGAUACCCUGGUAGUCCACGCCCUAAACGAUGUCUACUAGUUGUCGGGUUUUAAUUACUUGGUAACGCAGCUACGCGUGAGUAGACCGCCGUCGGGAGGUACGGUCGCGAGAAGUAAACGUACAAAGUAGAAGUUAGUACGGCGUGAGACGUAGACCGACGGACGACGACGAGGGGAGGUUAGG
rnacentral:rRNA from 1 species